CAGCAGUAGGGAAUCUUCGGCAAUGGACGAAAGUCUGACCGAGCAACGCCGCGUGAGUGAAGAAGGUUUUCGGAUCGUAAAACUCUGUUGUAGGGGAAGAAUGACUACUAGACGAAUAGGCUAGUAGAUUGACGGUACCCUAUUAGAAAGCCACGGCUAACUACGUGCCAGCAGCCGCGGUAAUACGUAGGUGGCAAGCGUUGUCCGGAAUUAUUGGGCGUAAAGCGCGCGCAGGCGGUCCUAUAAGUCUGAUGUGAAAGCCCCCGGCUCAACCGGGGAGGGUCAUUGGAAACUGUAGGACUUGAGUACUGGAGAGAAGAGUGGAAUUCCACGUGUAGCGGUGAAAUGCGUAGAGAUGUGGAGGAACACCAGUGGCGAAGGCGACUCUUUGGCCAGAAACUGACGCUGAGGCGCGAAAGCGUGGGGAGCAAACAGGAUUAGAUACCCUG
rnacentral:rRNA from 1 species